CAGGUGCCUGCCGCGAGGCGGGAGAAUCGGGAACACGGUGAAAAUCCGUGGCGUGCCCAACGCUGUAAGGGGGACCGCUCGGCAAAAGCCACUGUCCGUGAAAACGGACGGGAAGGCGCCGGCAAGCGGGACGAACCCGAGCCAGAAGACCGGCCGGACAGGA
rnacentral:ncRNA from 1 species